GAUGAACGCUGGCGGCGUGCUUAACACAUGCAAGUCGAACGGGAUCCAAGGGGUGCUUGCACUUUUUGGUGAGAGUGGCGCACGGGUGAGUAACACGUGAGUAACCUGUCCUUUUCUUUGGGAUAAGCAUUCGAAAGGGUGUUUAAUACCUUAUGUUCUGUCUGCCUCGCAUGGGGUGGGUGGGAAAGGCUUUGGCCGGAUUUGGGUGGGCUCGCGGUCUAUCAGCUUGUUGGUGGGGUGAUGGCUUACCAAGGCUUUGACGGGUAGCCGGCCUGAGAGGGUGGUCGGUCACAUUGGGACUGAGAUACGGCCCAGACUCCUGCGGGAGGCAGCAGUGGGGGAAAUUGCACAAUGGGCGAAAGCCUGAUGCAGCGACGCCGCGUGGGGGAUGAAGGCCUUCGGGUUGUAAACUUCUUUUGCUCUGAACAAGGCGCACUUUUGGGUGUGUUGAGUGUAGGGGUUGAUUAGCGCCGGCUAACUACGUG
rnacentral:rRNA from 1 species